rnacentral:rRNA from 1 species
UACGUAGGGGCCUAGCGUUGUCCGGAAUUAUUGGGCGUAAAGAGCUCGUAGGCGGUUCGGCAAGUCGGAUGUGAAAUCUCCACGCUUAACGUGGAGGGGCCAUUCGAAACUGCUGUGACUCGAGUCCGGUAGGGGAGUGUGGAAUUCCCGGUGUAGCGGUGAAAUGUGCAGAUAUCGGGAGGAACACCAGUAGCGAAGGCGGCACUCUGGGCCGGUACUGACGCUGAGGAGCGAAAGCGUGGGGAGCGAACAGG